CAAAACUUUCAACAACGGAUCUCUUGGUUCUGGCAUCGAUGAAGAACGCAGCGAAAUGCGAUAAGUAAUGUGAAUUGCAGAAUUCAGUGAAUCAUCGAAUCUUUGAACGCACAUUGCGCCCGUCAGUAUUCUGGCGGGCAUGCCUGUUCGAGC
rnacentral:rRNA from 7 species